rnacentral:rRNA from 1 species
UAGUCCACGCCGUAAACGAUGAAUGCUAGGUGUCGGGGGUCGAACCUCGGUGCCGCAGCUAACGCACUAAGCAUUCCACCUGGGGAGUACGACCGCAAGGUUGAAACUCAAAGGAAUUGACGGGGGCCCGCACAAGCGGUGGAGCAUGUGGUUUAAUUCGAAGCAACGCGAAGAACCUUACCAAUUCUUGACAUCCUUUUGACCGUUCCUUAAUCGGAACUUUCCUUCGGGACAAAAGUGACAGGUGGUGCAUGGUUGUCGUCAGCUCGUGUCGUGAGAUGUUGGGUUAAGUCCCGCAACGAGCGCAACCCUUAUCUUUAGUAGCCAGCAUUUCGGAUGGGAACUCUAGAGAGACUGCCAGGGACAACCUGGAGGAAGGUGGGGAUGACGUCAAAUCAUCAUGCCCCUUAUGAAUUGGGGCUACACACGUGCUACAAUGGGUGGAUACAGAGAGAAGCGAAUGGGGUGACCUGGGAGCAAACCUCAUAAAGUCCAUCCCAGUUCGGGAUUGUAGUCUGCAAC